CUAAUAAGUAACCAGACUGCACUGUUUAAUGUUAUCUAAGAUGGGAAUGGAGCCAUCUACACUUAUCAUCAGUUAUUGUUUAGAGUAGCCAACAGUGAGGUACAUUUUGAGAUACAUUUUAUGAACUACAUAUCAGAGCUUCCAGAAAUUUGUUAUCUGAAGCUUCAUGUAAACAUGUAAUACCUUCUGAUGCCUGUUCAGAUUCAUUCCUUAUCCAAUGGUUGAAUAUACCUCCUGUUUAAAGAAAAGACCACAGUAAUCAUGGUAACAGAUUGAUGAAGCUGUGACAGCAGCAGCCAUGGGAAUCAUCAGUAUAAUAUUUAUUAAAGAUGUAUUAGAAGUCUUGAAGCUAUUCCUUGUGAAUGUAGUAGAAAGAUCAGGGGUAUCAAAAGAUGAACUCUACAGACGAGUCAAUAACUCUAAUCUUAGAUACUUGUCACUCAAAACAAAGACAGAUCUUGAUGGUGCAAUCAUUAAGGGGGAUGCUGCUGACAUUAUAGAAAUUAAUACUUUGAUUAUACAUUUAAAUAUUGCAUCAGAUUUUGAAAAAGGUUCAGAAUUUGAGGGAAAAUUAUAUGAUGAUGUGAGAGCUGUAAGAAGAAUAAGAAAUAAUUUAAAGCAUACUGUUAGACCAUUAUCAAAUGAGGAAUGCGAUUCAUACUUAGAGGAGCUUAAGGAUCUGGCAGGCAAGUUUGAAAGCCAUUUAAAUGCUGCACCAGACGAAUAUCUUCACCUUGUCCAUGAAAUUAGUAACAAGAGAAGGCAACAUCUUAUUUGG